rnacentral:tRNA from 1 species
GCGGCGCUGGGCGGCAGCGGUCUCGCCGUCGCCCUGGAGCGGUGGCCGGACGCGAAUCGGUGGCCCGAACUGCUCGAUCGUGCCCGCGCGCUGCA